AUUGUGGCAUUUAUUUUCAACAUCACAAAAUAUAAUAUGUUUUUGCAGGUGAGCCAGGUCAGGUCGGAUCAUCAGGGCCUCCUGGUGAGAAAGGUCUUAAAGGAUCAGCAGGUGCUCCUGGGCCAGAUGGUGUUAAAGGAAUUCGAGGUCAUUUUAAAACUAAGCCUUGGGAAAAUAUUAGUCUGUGUCUUUCUUUUUAAGCGUUCAUUCUGAAAAUUUCUCCUUCAUUUAAAUUCAAGGGGAUCAAGGUCCGAUUGGGUUGCCUGGAGCUCGGGGACCCUCAGGGUCUCCUGGAGAUGCAGGAAUACCAGGUAUAAAUG
rnacentral:lncRNA from 1 species